rnacentral:rRNA from 1 species
GACGAACGCUGGCGGCGUGCUUAAUACAUGCAAGUCGAACGGACAGGCCCUGCUUUUGUGGGGUGCACGAGAGGCGAACGGGUGAGUAACACGGGAUUACCCUGCCCUUGACUUCGGGAUAACUUCAGGAAACUGGGGCUAAUACCGGAUAGGAGCUCCUGCUGCUUGGUGGGGCUUGGUAAGUUUCGGCGGUUGGGGAUGGACUCGCGGCUUAUGAGCUCGUCGGUGGGGUAGUGGAUCACCAAGGCGUUGACGGGUAGCCGGCCUGGGAGGGUGACAGGCCACAUUGGGACUGAGAUACGGGCCAGACUGCUUCGGGAGGCAGCAGUGGGGGAUAUUGCGCGAUGGGCGGAGGGCUUGAGCAGGAACUCCGGGUGCGGGAGGACGGCCUUCGGGUUGUAAAGCGCUUGCGCGUGUAACGAAGCGUGAGUGACGGUAAUGGGUAAGAAAGCACCGGCUAACUACGUG